rnacentral:rRNA from 1 species
UAUUAUUUUGGAUGUAAAAUAUUUAAACUUGAGUAGUAAUAGAUAAGGUCUUGAAACUUAAAGAAUUUGGCGGUAUUUUAGUCUAUUUAGAGGAAUCUGUCCCGUAAUCGAUAAUCCACGUUGGACCUUACUUAAUUUAAAUUAAUAUGUAUACCGCCGUUGUUGAAAAUCUUUUUAGAGUGAAAUUUUUUUAAAAUUUGUUAAAUAAUUUUUCAGGUCAAGGUGCAGUUUAUAAUUAAGUGGUGAUGGAUUACAAUAUUUUAUUAGUAUAUGGAUUAUAACUUGGAAGGAGUAUAUAUGAAGGUGGAUUUAAUAGUAAUAUUAUAAAGAUUAUUAAUAUGGUUUUAGCUCUAAAAUAUGCACACAUCGCCCGUCGCUCUCGUUAUAUUUAAGGUGAG